GAUGAACGCUGGCGGCGUGCCUAAUACAUGCAAGUAGAACGCUGAAGGAGGAGCUUGCUCUUCUGGAUGAGUUGCGAACGGGUGAGUAACGCGUAGGUAACCUGCCUGGUAGCGGGGGAUAACUAUUGGAAACGAUAGCUAAUACCGCAUGACAACAGUUAUUGCAUGAUAACUGUUUAAAAGGGGCAACUGCUCCACUACCAGAUGGACCUGCGUUGUAUUAGCUAGUUGGUGAGGUAACGGCUCACCAAGGCGACGAUACAUAGCCGACCUGAGAGGGUGAUCGGCCACACUGGGAAUGAGACACGGCCCAGACUCCUACGGGAGGCAGCAGUAGGGAAUCUUCGGCAAUGGACGGAAGUCUGAACGAGCAACGCCGCGUGAGUGAAGAAGGUUUUCGGAUCGUAAAGCUCUGUUGUAAGAGAAGAACGAGUGUGAGAGUGGAAAGUUCACACUGUGACGGUAUCUUACCAGAAAGGGACGGCUAACUACGUG
rnacentral:rRNA from 1 species